AGGGUUCGAUUCUGGCUCAGAUUGAACGCUGGUGGCAUGCUUAACACAUGCAAGUCGAACGGUAACAGGACUAGCUUGCUAGUUGCUGACGAGUGGCGGACGGGUGAGUAAUGUGCAGGAAUCUGGCUUUAAGUGGGGGAUAACCAUUGGAAACGAUGGCUAAUACCGCAUGUGCCCUGAGGGGUAAAAGUGGCCUUAGUGCUGCUGCUUAGAGAUGAGCCUGCAUCUGAUUAGCUAGUUGGUGGGAUAAAGGCUUACCAAGGCGACGAUCAGUAGCUGUUCUGAGAGGGAGAUCAGCCACACUGGGACUGAGAUACGGCCCAGACUCUUACGGGAGGCAGCAGUGGGGAAUAUUGGACAAUGGGGGGAACCCUGAUCCAGCAAUGCCACGUGUGUGAAGAAGGCCUUCGGGUUGUAAAGCACUUUCAGUUAUGAGAAAGUAUGUAGUAUUAAUAGUAUUGUAUAUUGAUGUUAGUAACAGAAGAAGCACCGGCUAACUCCGUGCCAGCAGCCGCGGUAAUACGGAGGGUGCGAGCGUUAAUCGGACUUACUGGGCGUAAAGGGUUCGUAGGCGGAUUAAUAAGUCAGAUGUGAAAGACCUGAGCUCAACUUAGGAAUUGCAUUUGAUACUGUUAAUCUAGAGUGUAGUAGGGGGAAGUGGAAUUUCCGGUGUAGCGGUGAAAUGCGUAGAUAUCGGAAGGAACACCAGUGGCGAAGGCGACUUCCUGGGCUAACACUGACGCUGAGGGACGAAAGCGUGGGUAGCAAACAGAUUAGAUACCCUGGUAGUCCACGCAGUAAACGAUGAGUACUAGCUUUUAGAUUCGGUGUUAAGGAUUUAGAAGCGCAGCUAACGCAUUAAGUACUCCGCCUGGGGAUUACGGCCGCAAGGCUAAAACUCAAAGGAAUCGACGGGGACCCGCACAAGCGGUGGAGCAUGUGGUUUAAUUCGAUGCAACGCGAAGAACCUUACCUACCCUUGACAUACCAAGAAUCCUGCAGAGAUGCGGGAGUGCCUUCGGGAAUUUGGAUACAGGUGCUGCAUGGCUGUCGUCAGCUCGUGUCGUGAGAUGUUGGGUUAAGUCCCGCAACGAGCGCAACCCUUGUCCUUAGUUGCCAUCAUUAAGUUGGGCACUUUAAGGAGACUGCCGUGGACAACACGGAGGAAGGCGGGGACGACGUCAAGUCAUCAUGGCCCCUACGGGUAGGGCUACACACGUGCUACAAUGGGCAUUACAAAGGGUUGCGAGCCAGCGAUGGUAAGCCAAUCUCAAAAAGAUGUUCACAGUCCGGAUUGUUCUCUGCAACUCGAGAGCAUGAAGUCGGAAUCGCUAGUAAUCGUGAAUCAGAAUGUCACGGUGAAUACGUUCCCGGGUCUUGUACACACCGCCCGUCAAACCAUGGGAGUUGGAUGCACCAGAAGUGGUUAGCUUAACCUUCGGGAGGGCGAUCACCACGGUGUGUUCAGUGACUAGGGUUAAGUCGUAACAAGGUAACCAAGGG
rnacentral:rRNA from 1 species